CCUGUGGUGCGCGUGUCCUACCAUCGGGGCAAGUUCGGUCACUGCACAAUAUGUUUUGUGGAUGGUUGUGAUAACGCUGACAUCACGACUGUCCUGAAUGACCAAUAAACAAAGCAGACGCUCAGAUAAACUGCUCUACGCUUCGUGCUUCCAGGUUCCAGAGAGAGGAGAUUGAUCGAAGCCUUCAACGCAGCGCGUGCGCCCCACCAUGAAGGCAUGUCGGGCACGACACGAGUUCUCCGACUUACAGCGGCGUGUAAGUUUAGCCAGCGCUGCUGUUUCCUGUUGGAGCACAGUUGACAUACGGCAACAGAUUAGUGGUCACAGUCGGGGUCAGACACCUUUAAGACACCAAUGUUCCCACAGUGCAGCAGCAACUGAUCUGAACUGCAGCUGCAGCGUCCACACUUUCUUCAGUGGGUCUCAACCGUCGGGUCACCGAGCCUGCAGGUGAGAGAGCUCUCUGGCAGGAGAGUGGUUUUGUGUUGAGUGCGCAUCCCACCAUCAUGGCAUGUUUGGACACUGCACUAAGGAUCAUUUAGGUUUACAUUCUGAAGGUCUUCUGCAAGGCAACCUGCCGUGUGUUUGCUGUGCUUCUGCUACGCCUCAAUAGCGAGCCACGACUUACCUGCCAGAGCACACGAAAGGCUCAGGACCGACUGUCACACACCGUCGAUACGUCACCAUGUCCAGGUCACAUGGUUAGUCAUGUGUGCCUCUUGAAUGAGACUGGAGUGGAUCAUGAUUCUGAGCGUGUUGCUGGGUGUUUUACCAACAGUCAUGUUGACAGAGCUUUGGCCCAAGGUUGUUGCUGUGAUCGGCGUGAAGCGUGGACAGCAUCUGCUGGUGUCAUGGCACUGUUCUGCUCACCUGAAGACAAGCUCAGGGUGCAGCACUUAUAUAGACUCUGCUCCUGUGUUUGGCUGUGUCCUUCAUACAUCAUCAGCGGCAUCACUUGACUCUUCCUAUCCUGCAACACACCAUAAAAAACACCUGUUAUUAUUGGCGGCAGCUUUUGUAGUUCUUGUUGUUUGUGAAUGAUGUGAAGUUAGAAGGCGACUACAUGGCGUUUUUACAACUUUCCUUGGUCGCUUUCCCACCAUGUCACUUUUCAGGGUGCAGAGGAGGGAGAGGUCUCUUUGAAGCAAGAGUGGCGGAGCAUUUGGACACCAGUCCUGACCCAGGACCCAGUGGAGUCAACAGGUUUCUCAAAGGACUCGGUGAGCGAGUCUCUGCUGUCUUGUCUUUGUUGAUGUUGCGAUGAGAUGCUGCCUUGAACCUUGGCAGAACGAAGACAAAUCGCCUGUAGUGUGUAUGACUGACUUCUCUCAUGUGGAGUCUGCGUGUAGCUCUGUUGUUGUCGCUGCUCCAGUUGUUGACCUGUCUUGCCUCCAUCUUCUCUGCCUCUUCAGGUUUCUGUCCUCUGUUUUCUUCCCACCUCUGGCUCUCUGAUCUCCUUCCAUCUCUUCCUCCCCCCUCACCUUGUCACUCUGAUGCUCUGCAUCCUUCCCUUUCCAUCCAUGGAUGUAUUUGCUCCAACACAACAGAUCAACCUCUCACACUCUCUUCAGCACCAUCAGCAGAGCGACGAAGAAUAACUGGUCAAACACCGCCCUCGUGUGGUUGGACUUAAACACAAUCAGUCAAUGAAAUAACCCACUGUUUGUCCAUGACGUCAUGACGCCUCCUCAUUGGCCAAUGGCUGGCCAACUGGCCCCGCCCCCGAGCGCCAGGUGAACUAGUCCGCUGAUGAGCAGCUUGGUGAACAGGUGGAUGAGGUGAACGACAGGUCAAACGUGUGUGAGCUGGAGGCUGCAGGUCACUGACAUGACGCAGCAGUGUCUGCAAGAUGUUUCAUGGUCAUGUGGAAGAGAUGCAUGUGAGUUGUGUGGAAGUGUUUCCUCAGGAGAAGAAACCCUGCAGCAGCUGGAGGGUGAGACGUCACUUUGCCAUUUCAAGUGUUUCCUUUUGGAUUUUGGGCUCUUUGACAUCCUCAGAAGACCCAGACCUUUGUUGGUGUGAGACCAUGCUGCUGCUCACUUGCUUCCUCUUGUUCCAGGUAGCUGCACUCAGACGGCCCCUGCACACAAAUGGAGUCAAAUCUGGCUGCAGCACAGUAGUUGGUGACGCAGCACUUUUCAGUGAGGGGCGACUGCUGUUUCUAACCAACUGUCUUGGUCCUGAAGCUCAGCAUUGGAGGUUGUAGUCCUCCUGAGGACUCUGAGGCUUCCUAGAGUGCCUGGUGACCCUGUGGCCCCUGUAUUCCUGGGGGCCUGUGAUGUGUGAAACUGAUCAUGCAGGAAUGUUUUGGUGCUUAUUUGCUGAGACAUCACUCUCAAGUUACUGAUGAACCUUCUGUUUCGUCUCUUCAGAUGGACCCGCCCUCCUCAGAGCAGCUCACCUGGGCUCUUCACCCACCUCCCAGUCACUUCUUUGUACACCUGCUGCAGUGACUUCCUGUUUGAGGUUGAAGGUCCUCU